GUGUGUAGAAUAGAAUAAAAAGACUGAUUAUACCUUAUGGGGAGCAGUACACAGAAUGAAUCUCCCUAGUUUAGGGUUGCCAAUGUUAGUGUUCUGUCUCCUGAGCCAACUCUCUCAGAUGCUCUAUUUUCGGCAAGAACAGUGUUGGAAAUUCAGUAAUUUAAUUGUAUUGAAGAUCAGUACCCUAACUUGUCCUGAGGCAAUUGAAAAAGAAAUGGCAUCUCAGAUGGACAUAAAACUCAUGAUGGAUCUCCCAGGACCUUUUGUAACAGAGACAUGGCAGAACUGCCAAGGAAGACUAUCUCAAUGAAUGUUGACAGAAAAAAAAGAUUUUCCAUCCAUGAUACUGUCUUCUGAUUGAGUUUUCUUAUGAAGAUCUCUUGCCACUUUUCCUUCUGAAACUGUUUUACUGUGCUUAGUUACAGAAUCUGAACACUGAAAAUGUAUUUAUUUCAUUGUGACACAUAAUUAUGUACUCCACAUUUACCCUGUCUGUUUAAAUUACUUUAUGCAAAUCUCAUUUCAAAGAGUAAAAGUGAAAUUAUCUUGUGUACAUAUCAUUAGGUUUUAGCUUCCAUGUCUAAUGAUAAUUUGUGGAUGCUCUGGAAAACAUUUAUUUUGGAAAAGUAGAGGAUUGCAAAAGUCUAGGUGUAUUUUGCUGCAUCAUCCCUUAGAGGAAAAUAAAGUGAUGUAAUAGUAUAAAUAUUAUCAAAAGAUGCAAAAACGGGCAGAAUAAAAUAGCAAUUUACCUAAUUUGUGUGCAUGAGUACAAUGUAGAAAUGGAACAAAGCCUUCUACACCUGCACAUUCUGUAUAAAAUCCAAUGCAUUUUCAGGUUUUGUGUAAAGGGGUUGGACUUUGGAGUAGAAGGAUUUGGACCUUGGAGGCAAUUGCUUCCAUGGAGUAAAGAAAAUCUGUAGAUUUCAAAGAGGAGUAACUGACACACCAAACAAAAAUAGCGUCCUCGGCUGAACAUUCAAUUGUGUGGUCCUCCAUAUGUGGUUGCUUUUUCACUUAUUUCAUUAAUGCCUGUUCCAGCUUUUUCGAAACUGGAACUUGAGGAGGCUUACAUGAAUUAAAACAAGUACAGAUAAAAAACACAAAACUAGUUACAAUUCCCUCAGCUAUAGAAUUUAAAAUGAAUCCAUUAUAAAGACUGAACUGCAAAUCCUAGCAUCCCUCAUCAGCACAAUCAAUGGUACGGAAUUCUGGGAAGUGUUGUUCAAAAUAUGGAGGAUUGUACAUUUUUCACUAUUAUUUUACAGUAUGUAUGCUUUGUAUGACUAACCUGAGAUCAGAUACUGUGUAAAAAUGCUAUUUAAUACUGAACUGGGCAAUGCUGAGCAUAGGACUUUGAGGCAUCAGUAAUCAUUUUGAAAUGCGAAGGGGGGAAAAUGCCAAAUUGCAUAGAUAUCGCAUAGAUGAGUUCACUUGGGGAGAUAGGGAAGAAUACAAAUAAAGUUAUUUAUUUAUUUAU
rnacentral:lncRNA from 11 species